GACGAACGCUGGCGGCGUGCCUAAUACAUGCAAGUUGAGCGAUGAAGAUUGGUGCUUGCACCAAUUUGAAGAGCAGCGAACGGGUGAGUAACGCGUGGGGAAUCUGCCUUUGAGCGGGGGACAACAUUUGGAAACGAAUGCUAAUACCGCAUAACAACUUUAAACAUAAGUUUUAAGUUUGAAAGAUGCAAUUGAAUCACUCAAAGAUGAUCCCGCGUUGUAUUAGCUAGUUGGUGAGGUAAAGGCUCACCAAGGCGAUGAUACAUAGCCGACCUGAGAGGGUGAUCGGCCACAUUGGGACUGGGACACGGCCCAAACUCCUACGGGAGGCAGCAGUAGGGAAUCUUCGGCAAUGGACGAAAGUCUGACCGAGCAACGCCGCGUGAGUGAAGAAGGUUUUCGGAUCGUAAAACUCUGUUGGUAGAGAAGAACGUUGGUGAGAGUGGAAAGCUCAUCAAGUGACGGUAACUCCCCAGAAAGGGACGGCUAACUACGUG
rnacentral:rRNA from 1 species